rnacentral:lncRNA from 1 species
UUCAUAUUCUUAACGCAAUGCUUCACACAGCAGAUUCUAAGAAGUUUAUAGCCGAUCGAGACAACUCGUCAAUCGAACUAACAUUUCAAACAUUCAUCGCCCAAGAUCAAAAUCGGCUUUAGAAAUCCUUUACAAUGAGCUCACUCAGAACAAACUCCAGGCAAUCAACACACACUGGAUGCAAGCAGUAGAACGAAUUGCGUACAAAGAGCGUCGAGAGCGUUCAAGACUAUCGUUUGAAAUCAUCGAUAAACCUCGUCGGUUUACAGCGCUAAGAUCAUCAUAUCAGAAUUAAAUUCUCCAAAGGGGCGAAUUCAAAACAAAUCCCAGAAAUAAUCACAAAACAGCGAGAAGACGACUAGGGAAAUAACCAGAAAACAUACAAUUUUCUAAAGAUAUAAUAU